UACGGAGGGAGCUAGCGUUGUUCGGAAUUACUGGGCGUAAAGCGCGCGUAGGCGGCUUUGUAAGUUAGAGGUGAAAGCCCGGAGCUCAACUCCGGAACUGCCUUUAAGACUGCAUCGCUAGAAUCGUGGAGAGGUGAGUGGAAUUCCGAGUGUAGAGGUGAAAUUCGUAGAUAUUCGGAAGAACACCAGUGGCGAAGGCGACUCACUGGACACGUAUUGACGCUGAGGUGCGAAAGCGUGGGGAGCAAACAGG
rnacentral:rRNA from 1 species